rnacentral:rRNA from 1 species
GCCAACGAUCAUACCACGUUGAAUAUACCAGUUAUCGUCCGAUCAUUGAAGUUACGCAUCAUAGGUCGUAGUUAGUACUUGGAUGGGUGACCGCUUGGGAAAACAAUACGUGCGUUUUUU